CUACGUGCCAGCAGCCGCGGUAAUACGGAAGGUUCGGGCGUUAUCCGGAUUUAUUGGGUUUAAAGGGAGCGUAGGCCGGAGAUUAAGUGUGUUGUGAAAUGUAGACGCUCAACGUCUGACUUGCAGCGCAUACUGGUUUCCUUGAGUACGCACAACGUUGGCGGAAUUCGUCGUGUAGCGGUGAAAUGCUUAGAUAUGACGAAGAACUCCGAUUGCGAAGGCAGCUGACGGGAGCGCAACUGACGCUUAAGCUCGAAGGUGCGGGUAUCGAACAGGAUUAGAUACCCUGGUAGUCCGCACAGUAAACGAUGGAUGCCCGCUGUUGGUACCUGGUAUCAGCGGCUAAGCGAAAGCAUUAAGCAUCCCACCUGGGGAGUACGCCGGCAACGGUGAAACUCAAAGGAAUUGACGGGGGCCCGCACAAGCGGAGGAACAUGUGGUUUAAUUCGAUGAUACGCGAGGAACCUUACCCGGGCUUGAAUUGCAGAGGAAUUAUUUAGAGAUA
rnacentral:rRNA from 1 species